UAGUAGCUUCGCGUUCUUUCUCUUGCGGCGUGAAGCGCGGCUUCGGCGUCCUAUCGUCAAUAGGAACAUCGUCUUCUUGUAGGGAAGCCUUGACUUUGACACGGUGGUGGAAUCUUGGAGCCAGUCAGGGAAAAUGUAGAUCACAGCACUCAAGGCCUCGAGGUCUUCUUGGCGAUCUUCAGUUUGUCUUCCCUAAUGUAACGUAGGAAAUUAGGAAAUAAAAACUUCAGAAUGACACGGCAAUUUAUUAAAGGCAAAAACAAAAUCACAUAAGAUACAAGAUAAGCAAUGAGGGAAGUUUCCAGAGUAGCAAAAUAUAUAAAUACUCUCUUGUAAUAUAAAUAUUUAAAAAAUUAUUUUUCAAAAAGGUUGCAAGUUUUUCUCUAAAAGUGUAGCGAAUGGUCAGUCUAUUUACAUAUUUUUAUUUACAACUUCAAUAAAUGACAACAGUAAAAGUAAACAAAGAUAUUUACAUUUGCUAUCUUGACUCUUGGUCAGUGCUGUGGCCCUUGCCGUUAUGGUCCCCUGAUGUCCUGCAGCUCUCCAGCAGUCUUUCUAUGGCCUCUCCUAGUGGCUCCUCGAUAAGAUGGUCCCCUGGCCUUGAUCCAUUCUUGUCUGUCAGGUCUCCUUUCAUCUGCUCUAGGUCGUUCUCCUGGAUCUCUUCUAUGGUCGUCGUAUCCCUGUGCUCCAUGUGCUCCAAUAAAUAAAUAAAAUAAUAAUCAUACUUAUAAUAAAUAUUUUUGCUACAAUUAUUAUAUACACUCUUGGGCAAAACUUAAGAAAAUGGAAAGUCUUUGAUAUUGCCAUUCCUCUUUUUUUUUUAAGGAGACAGAGGCAAUUUUUUUCACAUUUGGUUAUCUCGUGUGUCUUCUUUAAAAGUCACUGUGUAUCAAAUAUUUUCAGAAUUAUUGUCUGAAUCACGAUAUACAUGCUAAAAGGUACAACUUCCUUGAGUUUUGUACAUGAGUUUAAAAGUUAGAAGUAAUAUUUUGUCAUCGUGAGGAAACAAGUAUAAAUAAAUCCAGAGAAAAUAAAAUAAAGGUAAAUGAAUAUAAUAUUUUUCAAACUUUAACAAUAACGCGUUUAUUUAAAAAUUCUCAAAAAUAGAGAGAUAUAUAUUCUAUAGUUACUAUUAUUGAACAAUUGGAUUUAGAUAACUAAAAUUCAUCUAUCACCAUUAAAUAAUUAGAUUUUAUUUUGCUUUUGAGUAGUUAGCUUUGUGACUUUAUAUUCAUUCCGUGAUUUAGUAUUUGUGACUUAUUGAAAGUGUAUAUCUCUGAAAAUGAAAUAUAAGCAAUAUAUACAUGUAAUGAUUUAAGACCAUGGAAUUGUUGUAAAUAAUCCAGAUAUCUACUACCACAUGUUCCACCACGUGACUGUAUAUAACUUGUUAUUUACUGAAAAUAUAUAGCAUCACAUAAUACCAUUGUGUACCGCGUAAGACUCUAAUAAAGUAUAGCAACUGUACAGAUAGAAGGAAUGGAGAAUAACAGAAGAAAAUUAAGGUUAAAACUAAUCAGGCCUAAGUGAGAAUAAGAAAGCAGGCCUAUCGAGCCCAGUCCAAUUUUUACGAGGUCGUGGCCCUCCUGGAUGAUGUAACUUCCCCCCCUGUUUACGUCAGAAAAGGGCAGUGACCUGCUUGGACCUAGAGAGGCUACAAAAAGGAGGCCCCAAGCCUCAGUUAGUUAGUUAGUCUUCAGUCUUUGUUUCAGCCCCAGUCCGCAGGCCGCUCCGAUAGAGGUAAGCCCUUUCCUGCCAGAAAUCUCCUCGUCCCAUUCCUCCUUGACGUUCAGACGCUUCUUAGUGAAAUCUCUGUUUGUUUAUUUCACCUUUGGCCCAGCUGUGUCGCCUUCCACCACGACUGCACGGUAGAGUUGACAUCGAGGUUCGUCUAGCAUCAGGUAACACUGGUCCCAGAGGUCCCAAGAUAUCACAUACAUUCCACAUCAACAUUGCCACGUGGAAAAUUGGAAAGACAGUAUGGCGCAGAAAUUUAUUUAAGGCAAGAACAAACUAUGAAUGAUAAACAAAAGAUAAGCAAUGAGGGAAGUUUACAGAUUAGCAAAUUAUAAACAUAAAAAAUGAUACUCUGUUAAUUAAAUAAUAAAUACUUUGCUAUAUAGCUUCUUUCCUACAGUUUCCAAUUAUUGUAGUUACUGACAUGGAUCUGACGUGCUUCUGUCAAAGAUUCCCUCGUAGUCUUGGGACUUUGUCUCUAGUACCAUUGCGUUCUUUUUCAUGCGGUGUGAAGAGCGGCUUUAUCGUCGUAUCGUCUAUGGGGACAUCGUUAUCUUGGAAGGAAGUCUUGGCUUUGACUUGGCGGUGGAAUCCUGGUGCCAGUCUCUGAAAAUGAAGAUCACAGCACCCAUGGCCUCAAGGUAUUCUCGGCGGUCUUCAGUUUGUUUUCCCUAAUUUACCCAGCAUCUACACAAAAAUGCCAUGUGGAAAAUAAGGGAAGACAAACUUCAGGAUGGCGCCGCAAUUUAUUUAAGGCAAGAACAAACUAUGUAAAAAAAAAAGAAAAAGAUAAGCAAUCAGGGAAGUUUACUGAGUAGCAAAUUAUAAACAUCAAAAAUGAUACUCUGUUAAUUAAAAAUAAUAAAUACUUUGCUACAAUAUCUUCAUUCUGGCAGCAGAUUUUGUGGUAUGUCUGGUAUUUAGAAGAUAAUAAGUCAAUGAGACCGUUGACUGUCUUCUGACCAAUUUGAAAUGGUGUUUUGAUCAUCUUCUUUAAUGAGAGAUAGAACCAUGUAGCAUAUGCUUGAGGUUAUGGCAUUGUUCUGUAUUGCUUAAUGAUCCCCGUCAAAUAAGUGUCGCACCUUAGAUCGCAGGGUCAUCCUAUGCUGUUGUCAAAUUAUUUGGCAAACAUAUAUAAGCACAGUAUAAGUUUAUCAGUUAUGUGGAAAGAAUAUUAAUGCGUUGUUCGUUGACAAAGAAUAACUUCCGUGUGUACAAAGGAUCUUUAGGACUUUAUUUAAACCUAAUCGAUAAAAUAAUUUCAGAAGAGGGCAAAAAUAAAACAAUAAUAAAGAAAACAGCAGUUACAAACUCACCAACUGCAGCACAGUGAAGGAAAGCAGGCGCAGAACAGGAGACAGAAGUUGGUAGACCUUUCUAGAAACUUCCAGGAAGUACACCGGCGUCGGCGGUAAGCAGCAGUCCGACCUCUUGAGACAGCAUCGUUUGCUUGGAGUCCACUACGUGCCUUCGUUCUUCUUCUCCACUUCUUAUCUUUCUUCCCCCUGGCAUGAGUUUCUCAUCCCUAUAUAUCCCGGAGUAGAUCUUUCCAGAACGGUCAUGGUUGGUCAGCCAAUCAGAAAGCCGCCAGCACUAAGCUUUGCGCAAUCGCUUUAGAUUGGCCAAUCAGUUGUCUUCCGCUUUUUAUACAUUAUUCUUAAACGCUCUAGAACAUUCUCUCUCCAUUCUGGAAUGUGCUUUUCUUUCUACGUAACAAUAUUGGCUAUUUGUAAUUAAUUAGCGAACCGAUCUCCCACGCCUUCUGAUUAGAGAAUGUGGUCAUUUUUUGUAUAUAAAUGUAGUUCAUAGGUAAUGCAACAACAUGACUUUGGAUAAGAAGAUGCAGGUUCGAGUCCUGUCGCGGACGUCUUUUUUAGGCUCAAAAAUCAUACACUUUGGUUAUAGCCCGUAAAACCAUAUUCUCUCUAAUGCAACAACAAUACUUUGUUGUCAUAGGUAAUGCACGGACUCUAUUGUCGUGUAGAGUUCACAUAAAGCGAAUGGUACACGCGGGAGAAAUAUAUUAUGAAUGCGCGGACUCUUCCUGACUCUCACCAGAAGGCCCGGGUCCGAUUCCCGGCGUGGGAAGUUUUUUUAGUCUCCGGCAUGGUCUAGUGGCUAGGAUACCUGGCUCUUACCCAGGAGGCCCGGUUUCGAUUCCCGAUGUCGGAUUUUUUUUUUUUUUACACGCGGGAGAAAUUAAUUGUUGUUGCGGGUACUCUUCCAGGAGUUUUUGUGUGGAAACGUUUAAAGUGUUCUCUGCACGCUUUCUCUGUGUCUGGUGAUCCCGUCACAUUCCUGUGUAAUCCCGGUCCACUCCUUAUCAGUGCUGCAAUAAAAGAUAAGUACUGUUUUUUAAAAGUUAUCGUGAGAUUUCUUUUACGUCCUCUUUUUUUUUUUGUUUGUUGUAUUUUUGAGCGUGCGCUUUUCUGUAUGUUACUUUUACUUUAGGCCCUAGUACUUUUUACUUUUGUGUGUAAAGUGAGAGAUACGGGUUAAUAUAUUAAUGAGGCAUUUAGAGUAAAGUAUGAGAUAAGCAACACACACAGUGAUGUGAUGUAAUCGUUCUAAAGCAGGGGUCGGCAAUAUUUUGAGUCGAAUGAGUAAAAGAUUACAAUUUACAAAAUUUCAAAGUUUUUAAAAAGCCACACCAUUUUUUCUUGCCAACAAUAAAUAGUACUCGCAUAAAUAAUGUAACAAAGUAUUUAUUAUUUUAUUAGCAGAGUAUCAUUUUUAUGUUUAUUUUUUGCUAUACUCUGUACACUUUCCUCUUUGCUUAUCUUUUGUUUAUCCCUCAUAGUUUGUUCUUGCCUGAAAUAAAUUGCUGUCUCAUCCCGAAGUUGGUCUUCCCUAGUUUUUAACGUGGCAAUGAUAUUUGCGUAUGGAACUAUAUAAAGAGCCGAAUCUUCACAUUCAAAAGAGCCGCAUGUGGCUCGCGAACCGGUGUUUGCCGACCCCUGUUCUAGAGGAGUGCAAUGGUAUGUUUGAUCUUUGUACGCAGCCGUUCUCGUUGUUUCAGUAGGUUUUAGAUUGUGUUCUGUCAGGGGGACAUUUCGGUGGGAGAAGGAGUUAUCGCGUUGGGGAAGGGGAUAACUGGUUUUGUGGUAGACGGUCGCCUUAUUACUUCCUUCUUUCUUUUUGUCUUUCUUGCAAUGUUUUUUCUCUUCCCCUGUACCAUCCCGUUCUCAGCGAGGCGUCGAUCUAUUUUAACUACAGGUUUCUUUAUGAUACUUGUGAGGUCAAAAAGCACCUAAAAUAUAAUGGGUAUGAGUAUAUUGAGCUGGGAAGUGGUAAUUUAAGGAAAGUAAAAGGUAUUUAUAAAUAAGGUGUAUUUCUAAGAGAACCUACAAAUAGAACCUAAUGGGAGUUCUAAAAGUCUACUACCUGUUAGGUUAGGAUGAACUUAGGCUCUAUAAAUUUGUUUAUUUAGGACUUUUAUGGUAUCUUAGAGGUACUUUUGUAUUAAGGUGUGUUAAAUAGGAAUCUGGUCCAUAAUCACGGCUAUAGUACAUACUUGUAUGUAGGGCGAGCUGACCACGUCAGUUCUUAUAUUCAGUAAUUAGUAUAUAAUAGAAUAGUAAUGGUAUAUAUGAUAUUCAUAUAAUAUAUGAUAUGUAUUCUCUCUUGGUUUUUCAAGAAGUCUCUGAGACCAAAAAUACUUUUGGUCAGUGGUCCAGCCUGCUCCACGUUGACGAGUGCCAACAGCGCGAAGCGCGUUCGUGGAUGGCUUUUCUUGAUUUAUCAAGAAAAUGGGUUGGCCAAAUAUCAGGGAAAGGGUUAAAUCAAUGUUUAGUUGAUUUCUGUUCCACUAGAUGGCGCUCUGCCAUAUAAAAAGCACAUGUUCUCCUGGUUAGGAUAUGCUUUCAUUAUUUUUAAUGUCAAAAUCUGACCCUUUUAUAUAUUUUUUCUAUUGUUUUUCAUAGAUAUGUGUGCGUGGUAAUUUGAACUAACAACCCCUUAUUGGUGUAAUAUAACUAGAUUGUAUGAUGUAAAACAUGUUGUAUAAUAGAAACACUUCUGUAACUAAUUAUACCAAGUUAUACAUGAACCAUUGCAUCACAAUAUGUAAUGAACUCUGUAUAAACUGAAGAUCAUAAAAUUAAACUGUGUAGUAGAAGAAGAGUUGAGUUAAAUAGCAGAAAGUGAUAUAUAGAAGUCCAACAACGUUUACGAACGAGGCUUAAAGAUGUCGGAAGUUUCCAGAAAGUCGUUAAGAGAGUACAUUGACCUUUACUGCUUGAUUCCCCCAAUAUUAUGUCACACAAAGGCCCAGUACUUCCGCAUAUGGAUGAUAUAUAAAUCCCUGAAAAUCCGGAAAUGGAGAGCCACUUCAAAGUCCGCGGAAGCGUAUGACAGUACGUCCACUCCAUUGACCAUGCCACCAUAGGACAGCAAGAAAUCUCCAUUUUAACCCUCUCCAUCUUUUGCUGCUUAUCUCAACUCUUUCUGUUCACGGAACUUUCCCAGUGCAACUGUGUCCCUUCGUUUUUUUUUUGUUUUUUUUUUUGUGUGGACAAUCCCAAGUCUUCCAUUCUACCUCGACCAUGACUGCCCGUACUCUGUGAGAGUUGUGAAAGGAUUCAAAGGUGAAAAGAGGUAUUGGAAAGCUCUACCACACCUUUUUUCUUUUUUGCCCUGCUCAUGACUGAGCCCCUGGGGUUUUUAUUGGUUAUUCCAGGUUCCCGGAGUAUUAGUUAUUAUGAAUUUGGGGAAUCCCGGUUCCAUGAGAGAAUUAGAUUACUAUUUAUUUGGUUAAUCCGGGUUCCCUGAGGGGAUCCCAUUAUUAUUUAUUUGGUUAAUCCAGGUUCCUGGAGUAUCCCAUUAUUAUUUUUUUGGUUAAUCCGGGUUCAUUGAGUAUCACAUUAUUAUUUAUUUGGUUAAUCCAGGUUCCUGGAGUAUCCCAUUAUUAUUUAUUUGGUUAAUCCGGGUUAGUGGGUUUUCAUGUGGGUUGAAUGGGGGAAGGGUCAUGUAACCAGCCUUCUUAGUGAACCCGUGACCUUUCCCCAUGCAACCCACAUAAAAAUCGACUAAUUAAAGACUUCAAAAAAAAAAAAAAAUCAUCACCCAAUUUGACAAAGGAAAACAAACAGCGAUUCUAGACAAAUCCGAUUACUACAGAAAAAUAUUAAGCAUCCUUGAAGACCCAAUCACCUUUAAGCACAUUUCCAAAGAAAAUAAAAUCCGAGAAUACUCUUCAUACAAAAAAUAACUCAGAAAAAUACACAAGGAAAAUAAAAUAACGAAUGAAGAAUUAAAAGACUUCAUGUCUGAUAUGCAAACCAAUACCCACAUUUAUGGCCUCCCUAAAAUUCAUAAACCAGGUGUCCCCUUAAGACCCAUAGUGGCCUUCUACCAUUCCCCAACAGCACCUAUUUCUAAAUUCAUCUCAGCCUUUCUUAAGACCAUCAUAAAGCAACAAAGCUUCCUAUACUCCAUUUACAACAACUCUAUAUUCACAGAAGAAUUGCUCAAGUGCCAAGCCCCACCAGACAAGAUUAUGGUUUCAUUUAAUGUUGAAUCCCUGUACCCCAGUCUCCCACAUCAACUGAUACUAAACAGCACUGAAGAGUUCUUGAAAUAAAAUAAGAUUGAUCAGAUCACUGACAACAAAAUAUCAAAACUUACAGCCCUAUGCCUCGAAACAAAUUUUAAAAAUACAAAACUUACAAACAUAUAAAAGGUUCUCCCAUGGGUAGCUCUCUUUCAACCUCAGUCGCCGGAAUUGUCAUGUGUCGCAUGGACAGUUGGAUGACCUCCCUAUUUCCUUCCGAUGCAGUUUUUUUGGCGUCGAUAUAUUAACGAUAUAUUUUGUAUCUGCCCCUAAAAUCGAACUAAAAACAUUCUGUAAAAACUUAGCAGUUACCAUCGCGACCUGAAUUUCACAUACGAAAAAUAAACAAACAAUAGCCUGCCUUUUUUAGAUAUAAAAAUUAUGCGCAUACAGCAUCAAUUCCAAAAAACUGUUUACUAUGAGCCAUCCUUCAACCCCGACUAUAUACGUUUUUCCUCCUACUGCCUUCUCACCCAUAAAAUAAAUACAUUAAAGACCCUUACUAAACGUGUCAAUAGCCACUGCUCACUUCAAACCUUUAAAACAGAAGAGACCCAGAAUAUAUCUUAAGAAAUCUAAAAACUUGUCAAUAUCUUUCAUCAUUUAUUUCAAGGCAUUUCCAUAGCCCCUCUAAAGUACAAAAUCCUCAGUUUACAAAUCUAUUUUAAGCAUUCCCUAUUCACCAGUAUCCAUAUCAAUAGCUCGUCAUCUGGAGAAAUUCGGAAUUAAAACCUUCUUCUGCAACUCACCCAAUUUAAGUUCGCUACUGAGAAACCUUAUAACAAAGAACAAAAGCAUUAAUUAUGCUUCCAAUAUCAAGAAUGACAUAUACUCUAUAGAAUGCAACGAAUGCAAAACUAAAUACGUAGGCGAAAUGCCAGCAGAAAUUUGAAUAUAAAAAUAUCAGAACAUCAACGAAAUAUCGAAAACCAAGACACAGUAGAUCUCUAGUAUAUCAUCAAGUAAGAGAAACAGGUCAUUCCUUCUCACUAUCAAAACAAAGAAUCCAUUACUCCAACAUCCCCAAUAAACAAGAGAUUCAUCAUAGAAUCUAUUGUAUCAAGAAAACACAAUAAUAUUAACAGAAAUAUGGACAUUCCGGAAAUUUAUAAUAUACUAUUCCCUGAGCUCAUCUCAAAUCAUCCAAAUAGAGAAAUCCCCUCUGAAUAGCAAUAGCGAAAAGCAGAAAACAUCUCUUAAUAAUAACUACAGCUUAAUA
rnacentral:piRNA from 1 species